GUGCUCCCUUGGCCGCACUUAUACGAAAACUGGGACGAUACAGAGGUUAUCACGGCCCCCAUGCAAGGAUGAUGGACAAAACUCAUGAAGCAUUCCAGAUUUUU
ensembl:snRNA U6 U6 spliceosomal RNA